rnacentral:rRNA from 1 species
CCUACGGGAGGCAGCAGUGGGGAAUAUUGCACAAUGGGGGAAACCCUGAUGCAGCGACGCCGCGUGAGUGAAGAAGUAUUUCGGUACGUAAAGCUCUAUCAGCAGGGAAGAAAAUGACGGUACCUGACUAAGAAGCCCCGGCUAACUACGUGCCAGCAGCCGCGGUAAUACGUAGGGGGCAAGCGUUAUCCGGCUUUACUGGGUGUAAAGGGAGCGUAGACGGCAGCGCAAGUCUGGAGUGAAAUCCCAUGGCUUAACCAUGGAACUGCUUUGGAAACUGUGCAGCUAGAGUGCAGGAGAGGUAAGCGGAAUUCCUAGUGUAGCGGUGAAAUGCGUAGAUAUUAGGAGGAACACCAGUGGCGAAGGCGGCUUACUGGACUGUAACUGACGUUGAGGCUCGAAAGCGUGGGGAGCAAACAGGAUUAGAUACCCCUGUAGUC